AUUACAGCCAAAGUUAAAUUGAUAUUGAUGUAUGAUGUCUUUACUGUCUGUUUCCCCAGUGCCUAGAACAGGGCUUGGCAUGUGGUAGGCACAUGACAAAUAAGUCCUGUGCUAAUCUCUUUAGAUGUCUCAAUCAUCUCCUUUACUCUAAACCAAAACCCAUCAGAGCAGGUAUUAUCCCCAAGUCUCUGAGGUGAGUAAUUGGUGAGUAAUUGGCUCUGAGUGGUUAAGCAUAGUCCCUUAACCACUGUGCUAUUCUUCCCCUGCCAGGUACCUCUUCUCCCACUUAAAUGAUUUCUCAGCAUGCCAGGAGAUCCGAGACUUGUUGGAGGAGCUGAGCCAGGUCUUGCAUGAGGAUGGUCCAGCGGCUGAGAAGGAGGGCACAGUCCUGAGGAUCUGCAGCCACGUGGCUGGGAUCUGCCACAACAUCCUGGUCUGCUGCCCCAAGGAGCUGCUGGAACAGAAGGCCGUGCUCGAGCAGGUGCAGCUGGACAGUCCAUUGGGCCUAGAAAUUCACACCACCAGCAAUUGCCAGCACUUUGUGUCCCAAGUGGACACCCAG
rnacentral:lncRNA from 10 species